UACGAAGGGGGGCUAGCGUUGCUCGGAAUCACUGGGCGUAAAGGGUGCGUAGGCGGGUUUUUAAGUCAGAGGUGAAAUCCUGGAGCUCAACUCCAGAACUUGCCUUUGAUACUGAAAGUUCUUGAGUAUGGGAGAGGUGAGUGGAACUGCGAGUGUAGAGGUGAAAUUCGUAGAUAUUCGCAAGAACACCAGUGGCGAAGGCGGCUCACUGGCCCAUAACUGACGCUGAGGCACGAAAAGCGUGGGGAGCAAACAGG
rnacentral:rRNA from 1 species